rnacentral:rRNA from 1 species
AGGAUGAACGCUGGCGGUCUGCUUAACACAUGCAAGUCGAACGGAGUAGCAAUACUUAGUGGCGGACGGGUGAGUAACGCGUGAGAAUCUACCUUCAGGACGGAGACAACAGUUGGAAACGACUGCUAACCCCCGAUGUACCGAAAGGGCAAAUAUUUAUAGCCUGAAGAAGAGCUCGCGUCCGAUUAGCUAGUUGGAGAGGUAAAAGCUCACCAAGGCGACGAUCGGUAGCUGGUCUGAGAGGACGAUCAGCCACACUGGGACUGAGACACGGCCCAGACUCCUACGGGAGGCAGCAGUGGGAAUUUCCGCAAUGGGCGAAAGCCUGACGGAGCAAGACCGCGUGGGGGAAGAAGGCUCUUGGGUUGUAAACCCCUUUUCUCUGGGAAGAACACAAUGACGGUACCAGAGGAAUCAGCAUCGGCUAACUCCGUGCCAGCAGCCGC